UCUCUCACCGUCCCUAAGGAAGGGGACAUAGAAGACCCUAGAAACCCAAGAAGGGCAGGCCGAGCCGAAAUCAGGCUGAGAGAGAACUCCCCACGAGGGUAGAAGGCCUUGUUUCAGUUCAAGACAUUUUUGGACUUUGUUUGGAAGGAGCAGGACCCAGGAAGGAGCAGAGCAAAGGCCAGUCACCUGGUUGGAGGGCUGAGUUCCCAGCCAACAAACUGCAAGAGUGAGUCUCAGCGGGGUUGCUAGCCCAGCGAGAAAGCGGUGACACGAGGCCUGGCCAGCAUCUAGCGGGUACAAAACUUCUCUGUCGAAUCCGCUGAUUUGAUUGCUUCGUCUUGUGGUUUCAGACCCUCUGUUCUUCUUCUGGGCUGCCUGGACCCUGACUGUAACAUCUCUCUGGCCCAGCCUCUUACACAAAUGUGUGCUGCAGCCAGCCCAGCGCAGGGAGCAGUGGGGACAGAUGAUCUCAUCCUGUCAGACCAAGAAACAAGGGUCCCAUUGAGGCUUAGAUGGAAGAUCCCAGGCAUCUCCUGGAGAGGAUGCGUCCGGGACCCUGGAGACUGUUUCGUGCAGGAGGUUUGAGCAGGGAGAGAUCACUCACUGUCAUGACCCAUGGGUCAUUAACCCGGGUCUGCAGGGUUCCUGGGAGCAGCCAGCCUCCAACACACCACCUGGAAGCCGACGAAAAACUGCUUAGCUAGGACUGACGAAGUCCAGACCCAGUUUGAGGCUCCUAUUGGCAGAGUCCCAGAGCAGCUAAUCGGCCCCCGGGACCUCCUUAAACCAGCAGCAGGAAGAAGAAGCUGUCUGAACACCCGAGCUGCUCCCCGGCUCUGGACCGUGUGUUGGCUGUUCCUGCUCCCACUCCCCAGGCUUGAUUUCCUGGCAUGCGGACUCGGGGUGACUCAUCUGACUUGAGGUGCUGAACACAAUUUGGUCUUUUGCUUCUGCUCUUCCAGUGUCCUGACCCAGCUGACUCUCGACUCCUGUCUCGUGAGUGUGGACUCUGCCUCUGACCACUAGGUCUGGCUGCCCAUGACCCAGCCAUGACACUGACUUUUCUACAGUUCCUCCAGUGCCCUUUUCUGCUCUCCAGCUCUGCUCUCCCAGCAAGACACACCAAUCCCUUGGCUCCCAGAGUCCUGCUUGCCUGCUAAUCAAGGGCUCAGGGGGAGAGCUUGUCUUGCCCCCUCCCCCACCACAGCUGCUUUUCCUCGGGAACUCUCCCUAGCGCAGAAGAGAAUCCGUCCUGGCAGCAGUCCAGGAAGUCACAGAAGGGACGGUCUGCUCAGCUCCCUCUGCAAUGCCACUGCCCGAGACCAUUACGAGUGGGUGCCCAGUGACUGCGCCGGCAGCUCCUUGAGAGACUGCUGGGGGCAGGGUAGUCGUGUUUCCCAGUGACCGCAGGAAGCCAUGCAAAGAGUGCGGCAUUGAGGAGACUCUCCUGCUGUCCCAAAGGGUUUCUGUUCUCCUGCACGGUCAGACCGUGGGGCCGGCUGGCAGAAUGGGGAAGAGCUGGUUGGUGAUGAGUCGGGGGAAUCACCAUAGAGGUGGCAGCAGCUGCAGAUCCUGGAGUCCCUGUGGUCGGGUUACCAUGUGUCCGGAUUUUCCCGGACAUG